rfam:Fischerella sp. JSC-11 ctg115, whole genome shotgun sequence.
GUUGCAACUUAAAUUAAUCCCUAUUAGGGAUUGAAAC